AGCUUUGCGCAGUGGCAGUAUCGUAGCCAAUGAGGUUUAUCUGAGGCGCGAUUAUUGCUAAUUGAAAAACAUACCUGGGGAACCAGCAGUUAGCGUAAUGGCUAUGUCGCUGGAUUCCCACAUAGUCGACCGCGGU
rnacentral:snRNA from 1 species